UUGCUUCAGCAGCACAUAUAGUAAAAUUGAAACUAUACAGAGAAGAUUAGCAUGACCCCUGGGCAAGAAUGAAGCGUUCCAUAUUUAACAGAAAAAAUUUAAA